rnacentral:rRNA from 1 species
UGGGGAAUAUUGCACAAUGGGCGAAAGCCUGAUGCAGCAACGCCGCGUGAGUGAUGAAGGCCUUCGGGUUGUAAAGCUCUGUCUUCUGGGACGAUAAUGACGGUACCAGAGGAGGAAGCCACGGCUAACUACGUGCCAGCAGCCGCGGUAAUACGUAGGUGGCAAGCGUUGUCUGGAUUUACUGGGCGUAAAGGAUGCGUAGGCGGAUACUUAAGUCAGAUGUGAAAAUCCCGGGCUUAACUUGGGAACUGCAUUUGAAACUGGGUAUCUAGAGUGCGGGAGAGGAAAGUGGAAUUCCUAGUGUAGCGGUGAAAUGCGUAGAGAUUAGGAAGAACAUCAGUGGCGAAGGCGACUUUCUGGACCGUAACUGACGCUGAGGCAUGAAAGCGUGGGGAGCAAACA